UACAGUCCCACGAUGGAGGACAAAAUGUGGCAGUGGUUCUGUUGCCGUUAUGACAAAUAGAGUGUCCUUGCUCUACGAAAAAGGUUGAAAAUUUUCAAGG